rnacentral:rRNA from 1 species
UACGAAGGGUGCAAGCGUUACUCGGAAUUACUGGGCGUAAAGCGUGCGUAGGUGGUUUGUUAAGUCUGUUGUGAAAGCCCCGGGCUCAACCUGGGAAUGGCAAUGGAUACUGGCAAGCUAGAGUGCGGUAGAGGGUAGUGGAAUUCCCGGUGUAGCGGUGAAAUGCGUAGAGAUCGGGAGGAACACCAGUGGCGAAGGCGGCUACCUGGACCACAACUGACGCUGAGGCGCGAAAGCUAGGGGAGCAAACAGG